CCCCACAGCCCACCCCAAGCAGGCUAGUGCUGCAUGUUUGGCAGGGCUGUGGCUGCAGGUGCCAGGAGCAGGUGGCGUUGGGGUCCAGUCCCAUCCAGCCCAGGGCUGCUGGUCAUUGGUCUGUGCCACUGCUGCUGCUGCACAGGGUGGGUGGGUUUUCAGCCAGACCUGGCUCUUGUCUCCUCUCCCGGGGUGAAAUGGGAGGUUUCUGGUGUCCCAUCACUGUUUCUCCUUCCCCUCCCAUUGCGUGUGCGCGGCCCCAGGGAGCCGCUGCUGAAAGGGCUGGUGAGGGGCUGGGAAGAGCUUCGCCCGUGCCCGGGAGGCAGCAGGGUUUGCAAGGGAGCAGCUCUGGGGGCUCUUUGGGUCGUGCCAUGCUGCAGGGAGCUCUGACUGCCCCAUGUCUCCACGUCUCUCCCUGUGCCAGGACAGACGGACAGAGGGGCCACAGCCACACCAGGAGCCACCUGUGCCAGACAGACCUAUGUGGGGUGCAGAGCCCCAGGAAAAAAGCUGGGCUGCCUGCACCGAGGGUGAUGGCUGCUGCUUGCCCUGGGGGACAGCCCUGCUUGUGCCCACCUGCUCUGCCCACCUGGAAACACUGCAGUGACUUUGCAGCUCCAGCUCAGUUGUGGCUUCAGGUCCAGCUCCUGCUUGUUCUUGCUUCAAGAACAUUUUAGGCUCCAGCUGGGUUUCAGCUUUUCUGGCUUCAUUUUGGCUGCAGGUUAUUUGCAGGUCCAGUUCAUCGGUGGCUGCAGCUGCUGUUCAUUUCGUCUCCAUCUCGUUACAGCUUGUGCUUGUUCAAAUGGUCUUGGCUUUUGACAGGGUUGUAGAUUGAUCAUUGUCACAGCUUGAAUAUGAAUUGUACAUUGUCUGAAUAUGAACUAAUGAGUUAAUGACUAUUCCAGCUGUUGUACACACUGGGAAUAAAGAUGGUCU